GGGGAAAUGGGCCAGUCCUGAUGCAGCCCGCCGCGUGUAUGAUGAAGGCCUUCGGGUUGUAAAGCUCUUUCAUCGGGGAGGAAGGUGUUGUGGUUAUAACCACAGCACUUGACCUUACCCUCACAAAAAGCCCCGGCUUACUCCAUGCCCGCCGCCGCGAUAAU
rnacentral:rRNA from 1 species